UGGUCACAUUACGUUGAAACAUCGGUUCCCGUACGAUUACCAAAGUUAAGCAACGUCGAGUCUGGUCAGUACUCAGAUGAGUGACCGCUUUGGAAUAAUAAGUGCUGUAAG